GGCCGCCUGGUGUAAUGGCAACGCGUCUGACUACGACUUACGUCAGCAUCAUCAGGAGAUUGCAGGUUCAACCCCUGCGGUUGUCA
rfam:Sphaerobolus stellatus SS14 unplaced genomic scaffold SPHSTscaffold_11, whole genome shotgun sequence.